rnacentral:rRNA from 1 species
ACUCAAAUGAAUUGACGGGGGCCCGCACAAGCGGUGGAGCAUGUGGUUUAAUUCGACGCAACGCGAAGAACCUUACCCAGGCUCGAAAUGCAGGGGACAGACGGUGAAAGCCGUUUUCCGCAAGGACUCCUGUAUAGGUGCUGCAUGGCUGUCGUCAGCUCGUGUCGUGAGAUGUUGGGUUAAGUCCCGCAACGAGCGCAACCCUUGUCUACUGUUGCCAUCAGGUUAAGCUGGGCACUCUGUAGAGACUGCCGGUGAUAAACCGGAGGAAGGUGGGGAUGACGUCAAGUCAGCAUGGCCUUUAUGUCUGGGGCUACACACGUGCUACAAUGGCCGGUACAAAGCGUUGCAAGCCCGCGAGGGGGAGCUAAUCGCAUAAAGCCGGUCUCAGUUCGGAUUGUAGGCUGCAACUCGCCUGCAUGAAGUUGGAAUCGCUAGUAAUCGCAGAUCAGCAGGCUGCGGUGAAUACGUUCCCGGGCCUUGUACACACCGCCCGU